rnacentral:tRNA from 1 species
GUUCUUAUAGUAAAAUAAUUACAGUGGCUCUUCAAGUCAUCAAUCUGGGUUAGAGUCCUAGUAGGAAUU